rnacentral:lncRNA from 1 species
CCUUCUGUUUGACCCCCUUUUCACAUUCGAGCCUCCAUUGGUUUUCUUCUCAUCUGACCAAAUUACUGUAGGCAAGUUUGCAUAAUCUUCUUCUCACUAAUUGCUAUUCCAUACUUCUCUUGAACACGGUUCAUAAUCUUGUAUUUUCUGUAUGUUCACUCAUCCACCACCGCAUCUAAUCCUCUACAUUUAUAUUUGCUUUUGUUUGGCACUUGACUGCCCCACAUUUUCGAUACCAAAUUCUAUUCUCUGUGUAUGGAAGUUUUUAAUGACCUGAAUUGCGAUGCUUAUCAACUACUUGAAUUUUCUAAGGUUCUGUUUGGUUUUUGUUUCUGUUUUCAAUUUUUGUUGUCUCUCUUCUAAUACCUAAAUCUAUGAAUAUAAGUUCCUUCCAUACAUGUGAAUGGCAAUUAACAUUUACUCUUGUUUGCUAUUUUGGACUCAAAUAUCUUCUCAGCCUUAGCUAUCCAAUAGGACCAUUUUCAUCAUAGUUGGGCAAUUCAACUUUCUAAAAAUCCUUCUUAAACUCAUUUGGAACCUUAUCUUCAAGUUUCACCGAGUGAACAUCAAGAUGCCUUUGAUCACACAUUUUACUAUUUCUAACAUUCUUAGAACUUCCUGCAAGGUAGCCUCUUUUUUGCUUACCUAAAUCCUUCAACAAUCAAAGAAUUCCAUCCAUACUGUCAAGUUUCUCAUUUAUCCAAAAUCUCGCAUCUGAUUCUUGUGGUGGAAUUGGAACACUGCAUCUUGGCAUUCAUGUCUUCCAUGUUUCUUUCUCCAAUGAAAAUCGAGAGUGUUUUUUUGAGGCACCCAAUUUAAUCUCCCUCCUUUUGUUUAUUAUUAAUUGUAGAACAUAUUGCCUCCUAAACUGUGACUGCCUAUGCAGCUACUAUUAGAUCAGCCCUGCCUUUAAUUUUGUUUUAUUAUUUUCUAUCAGACCUUCAGAUCAUGAAAUUUAAUAUUCCAUGUAUUGUUAGCUAAGUCAUAGAAUUUUGUACUGGGCCUAACUCAACCUUACAAACCGGCUUGUAAGGUGAGGAUUGCUCCCACUUAUAAACAUAUUUUCAAGUCAUCUCUCAACCAAUGUGGGACUCUUAACACUAAGUAACAUGUACCUGUAAGCUUUUUCUUUCUUGCGGCAUGUACCUGUAACCUAACUUAAUAUUACUCCUUAAUACAUGUGUUUGCUAUUGUUGAAAACAACUGCCUUUAAAUUUAAUUGUUAGUGACUCACAAACAUACCAGUAAUAUAUACUUUUCUUUUUACAGAAAUACCUUCAACAUAAUUGAAUCUUAUUUUGUGACACUAUUGUAAUAUUAUGUUGAACUGGUGAACUAACAGUUUAAUUUUUCUGAUGGAACAGGUGCACGAGCGCUUCAUGAAGAACAUCAGCAAUAUGUGAGCUUCCUUUAAUGAAGCAUGUUCUGUAAUAAACUGUGUGACUAGUUUUAUUGGAAUAUUUAGAUUGUGAUUUUUUAGGGAGACAACUUGUUUCGUAUGGAUUUUGUGAAGUUCGACUAUUUUAUUUCUUUCGCUUCACUGAGAAUAAUUACAAGCAAUGCACAUUCCCAUUUAUUAUCAAGAGAAGUGCUACAUAAUGCAAUGUUUUUCAUACAAAUUGCACAAAAUUUGAGCAAAAUUAUGUACGGGAAAUCUUUGGAAGUGCUAGUGCUACAUAAUCCAUAAUCUGAUGCUCUCUCGGUUUCAAAACCAACGCAUUUUAG